UACGAAGGGGGCGAGCGUUGUUCGGAUUUACUGGGCGUAAAGGGCGCGCAGGCGGUCAUUUUUGUCGAGUGUGAAAGCCCCGGGCUUAACCUGGGAACUGCGCUCGAAACGGGAUGACUAGAGAUCGGGAGAGGAGAGGUGGAAUUCCCAGUGUAGACGGUGAAAUUCGUAGGAUAAUUGGGAAGAACACCGGGUGGCGAAGGCGGGCUACUCUGGACCGAU
rnacentral:rRNA from 1 species